AGCGAACGCUGGCGGCAGGCCUAACACAUGCAAGUCGAACGAACCUUUCGGGGUUAUUGGCGGACGGGUGAGUAACCCGUGGGAACGUGCCUUUAGGUGCGGAAUAACUCAGGGAAACUUGUACUAAUACCGAAUGUGCCCUUCGGGGGGAAGAUUUAUCGCCCUUAGAGGGGCGCGCGUCAGAUUAGCUAGUUGGUUAAGGUAUUGGUUCACCAACGCGACGUUCAGUAGCUGGUCUGAGAGAAUGGUCAGCCACAUUGGGACUGAGACACAGCAGAAAAUCCUACGGGAGGGAGCAGUGGGGAAUGUUGCGAAAUGGGCGAAAGGCUGACGCUGCCAUGACGGGAGAAUGAUGAAGGUCGUAGGAUAGAAACAUUCUUGCAACGGGGCCGAUAUUGACGGUACCCGGAGAAGAAGCCACGGCUAACUUCGUG
rnacentral:rRNA from 1 species